AAGAGUAUAUUUUCAGGGAUCAUUUCUAUAGUUCUUAACUAGAGAAGCUUCUCUGAUCAUAUAGGGUAGCAGAAAUCACGAGAAGGAAACAUGACAUUUUCCCCUGAGCGUGAAGCCAGCUCUUGGUGCUGCUGUGUUGCAGCUGCCAUUUGCCAUUGAUGAUUCUUCUUCUCCUCUGGAGGAGCAAGAAGGUGAGGACGUCAUCUGAGUGGU
rnacentral:snoRNA from 1 species